GUGCACCAGGCGAGAAUCCUUCGCAAUGCGGGAAACCGCGACGAGGGGACUCCCAGUGCCUACGCUCAGCGUAGGCUGUUCCCGAGCCUAGAAAGCUCGGGGAGUAAGGGCUGGGUAAGACGGGUGCCAGCCGCCGCGGUAAUACCCGCAGCCCGAGUGGUGGCCACUAUUAUUGGGCCUAAAGCGUCCGUAGCCGGCCCGGUAAAUGCCUGGGUAAAUCGUGAGGCCUAACCUCACGAAUUCCGGGUAGACUGCCGGGCUAGGGACCGGAGGAGGGAGAGGGUACUCCAGGGGUAGGGGUGAAAUCCUGUAAUCCCUGGAGGACCACCGGUGGCGAAGGCGCUCUCCUAGGACGGGUCCGACGGUGAGGGACGAAAGCCAGGGGAGCGAACCGGAUUAGAUACCCCUGUAGU
rnacentral:rRNA from 1 species